UGGUGACUUGCCCUAAUCGCACGAAAUAAUAGUAAUAUGUAGUCUUACUUGACGAAUUGACAAAAAUGACAUUUGUCCUCAAACAUCAAGCUACUUAAUUACCAUGCACAAAGAUAGGCAAAGGUAAGUCUUACUAUAAUUUUCAAAUUUUAAAUAUUGAAGGUAAUGUUCGAGUGCAAUGGAAUUAUCUUAUUUUUUUAGGUGGGUCUAAAGGCAUAGCCUCGAAGAUUAGUGGACCAGCAUUGAAUCAGCUUUGACAUCUAGUUGA
rnacentral:lncRNA from 1 species